rnacentral:lncRNA from 1 species
UACUUGGAGGGCUGAGGCAGGGGCUGGGAUUAGCCUGGGCCACACCAUGAGCCUGCAGGGACAAAGGGACAAGCAAGAAUUGGGCAAAUGAGUGUCCAAGAAGAACGUGGAACACCGUUGUUUCUGCAGAGAAUUUCCCAACCAAGCUGCAUGUGUCCAGACCUCCACAAUGCUCCUCUGGAUAGCUUCCUCCCUGUGGAGAACGCUCUGGGAAGCCGAGAAGCUCUGAAUGCUACCUCCCUACCCCAGCAUUAAGGAGAUGUUGCUUGUGGGAAAGUGAUGUCACCCAGAUACAGCUUUGCUCUCUUGGUCUAGUGAGACCGGUCUGUCUGGUGGAGGUAAGCCUGUGACGGACGUCUUCAGACCUGGGAUGAGGAGUGGCAUGACACUGUGGAAAGGAAAGAUGACGUAACCCUCAGGAACACUGAGGAAGACUCAAACUCAGGAAGAGUUGCUAAGAGAUGAGGCCACUCCCGCGACUUUGGGGUUUUGAAUUGGGGAGCACAGAACUGGUAUGUGGCUGAGAGCUGGCUUAGACACACUGGAGGUGAGAUUCUCUUGGGACUCAGAGACAGAUGGCGAUGUUCAAGAAAAAGCAUCAAAUCACAGGAGUUACCGUUACCGAGAAACAGCAGGGACUGGGGGCAGGCACAAGGACUCUUCAGUGGCCUCAACAGUGAGUACCUCCAUCACACGUCAAAGAAGAUAUUGAGCUUCAUUACCUCCGAUUGGAGUUGCUUCAAUUAUGGCAAGCGAGCCACUGGAUAAGAAAUACUUUAAUUCAUUCUGCAGACAAAUGCUGUCCAAAAAAAGGACCAAUUGAAUGUGGAGUAGUCGAUUGUUAAGCGCUACCAAGACAGGGCGUGGAGGGUUCUCUCGGCAAUGACCCUGCUAGAGUACGGAUGAGGAAGGUCCUAAACCCUGGAACUUGCAGGGUCAUGAAGCCUACCUGGUCUUGAGAAUUGGAGACUGUCUUGUCAGAAAAUUGAAUCAACUGGAGAUGGAAGGCUGGGAGGAGACACAGCCAGAAGGAAGACAGAGAGCCAGGGCGCAGGCUCUUCCCAGACUCUGAAUCCACUGGUACCUUGGCCUUGUGACUUCCAGAACCCUGAAGAAUAAAUGAAAUGCAUUUCUGUCGUUUA